GAGGGUGUAGUUCAAGUGGUAGAGCGCAUGGUUAGCAUACACAAAGUCCUGGGUUCAAUCCCCAGCACUUCCU
rnacentral:tRNA from 1 species